rnacentral:rRNA from 1 species
CCGCUUUUGUUCGGGAAGAAUCCUCUGGGCUAAUACCCCGGGGGAUGACGGUACCGGAAGAAGAAGCACCGGCUAACUACGUGCCAGCAACCGCGGUAAUACGUAGGGUGCGAGCGUUAUCCGGAAUUAUUGGGCGUAAAGAGCUCGUAGGCGGUUUGUCGCGUCUGUCGUGAAAGUCCGGGGCUUAACCCCGGAUCUGCGGUGGGUACGGGUAGACUAGAGUGCAGUAGGGGAGACUGGAAUUCCUGGUGUAGCGGUGGAAUGCGCAGAUAUCAGGAGGAACACCGAUGGCGAAGGCAGGUCUCUGGGCUGUAACUGACGCUGAGGAGCGAAAGCAUGGGGAGCGAACAGGAUUAGAUACCCUGGUAGUCCAUGCCGUAAACGUUGGGCACUAGGUGUGGGGACCAUUCCACGGUUUCCGCGCCGCAGCUAACGCAUUAAGUGCCCCGCCUGGGGAGUACGGCCGCAAGGCUAAAACUCAAAGGAAUUGACGGA